UGAAGAGGGGUAAAUUAAUAAGAAAUAAUUAAUAAAAAAAAUUUUAAAUAUAUUUAUUAAAAUGGGGGGUUUUAGUAAUAUAAAUAAAAAAAAUAAUUAUUUUUAUAGUUAAUUAGUAUUGUAAAAGAAUUUUGAAAUAGUUUAAAUAAAAAUUUUUAUAAAAGUAAUUUUAAUUUAAUGUAUCUUGUGUAUCAGAGUUUAUUAAGAAAUUUUUUUGGGGGGAAAAUUUCUCGAAUUUAAAAGAGAUAAUUAAUUAAUAAAGUUAUUGUUGCAUAAAUAUUUUAAAUAAUUGAUUGGAAAUGAAAUGUUAAUCGUUUUUAAAUAUAUCUAGUUUUUUUAGAAAAAAAUUUAAUUUUAAAUUAUUUAAAAAAUAAAUUAAUUAAUUAAUUUAUUUUUUAAAUAAUUUUAUAAUUUAAGGGAUAAGCUUUAAAUUAAAUUUGUAUAAUUAAAAAUUAAAAUUAUUAAAAAUUAUAUUAUUUAAAUUAUAAAAAAAAUUUAAUUUAUUAUAAAUAAUUUUAUUUUGAAUAAAAUUUAAAAUUAAUUUAUAUUUUUAUAAAAAAAUAUUAUUGAAUAAAAUUAAUUUUAAUUAUAAUGAUAAAAUUAGUAUAUUAAAAAUAAUUUUAUAAAAUAAAUUUAUAUAAGUUGUAAAAUUUAUAUUUAAAAUUAAUUAAAAGGAAUUCGGCAAAAUUUUAUAUUCACUUGUUUAUCAAAAACAUGUCUUUUUGAAAUUAAUUUAAAGUCUAAUCUGCCCACUGAUUUUAAUUAAAGGGCUGCAGUAUUUUGACUGUACAAAGGUAGCAUAAUCAUUAGUCAUUUAAUUGAUGACUUGUAUGAAAGAUUGGAUGAAAUAUAAACUGUCUUUUAAUUAUAUAUAAAAUUUAAUUUUUUAGUCAAAAAGCUAAAAUAACUAAAAAAGACGAGAAGACCCUAUAGAGUUUUAUAUAUAAAUUAAAUAAAGUUAUUUAUAAUAAAUAUUAAAUUUAUGAAAUAUAUUUUAUUGGGGUGAUAGAAAAAUAAGAAAAACUUUUUUUAAAUAUUAACAUUUAUAAGUGAUAAGUUGAUCCAAUUUUAUUGAUUAUAAGAAAAAAUUACCUUAGGGAUAACAGCGUAAUUUUUUUUUUUAGUUCAUAUAAGAAAAAAAGUUUGCGACCUCGAUGUUGGAUUAAGAUAAAAUUUAAAUGUAGAAGUUUAAAAUUUUUGAUCUGUUCGAUCAUUAAAAUCUUACAUGAUCUGAGUUCAAACCGGUGUAAGCCAGGUUGGUUUCUAUCUUUUUAAAAUUAAAAUAUUUUAGUACGAAAGGAUUAAAUAUUUAAAUUAAAUUUAAAUACUUUGAAUAUAAUUAAUAUAUUAAUAAAUAAUUUAUAAAUAAAAAU
rnacentral:rRNA from 1 species